rfam:Coniophora puteana RWD-64-598 SS2 unplaced genomic scaffold CONPTscaffold_5, whole genome shotgun sequence.
AGCGACAGAGGGUAGCACAAUCAGACAACGCCCUCGCCUUUUACUAGGGCGUUCCGUGGGCUGCCCUCAUUUCCAUGUCGCAUUCCCAAUUUUUCAGCACUCAGCUUGCUCUGAGAU